rnacentral:rRNA from 1 species
AUUGAACGCUGGCGGCAUGCCUUACACAUGCAAGUCGAACGGCAGCACGGGAGCAAUCCUGGUGGCGAGUGGCGAACGGGUGAGUAAAGUAUCGGAACGUGCCCAGUCGUGGGGGAUAACGUAGCGAAAGUUACGCUAAUACCGCAUACGAUCUAUGGAUGAAAGCGGGGGAUCGCAAGACCUCGCGCGAUUGGAGCGGCCGACAUCAGAUUAGGUAGUUGGUGGGGUAAAGGCUCACCAAGCCGACGAUCUGUAGCUGGUCUGAGAGGACGACCGGCCACACUGGGACUGAGACACGGCCCAGGCUCCAAAGGGAGGAAGCAGUGGGGAAUUUUGGCCAAUGGGCGAAAGCCUGAUCCAGCCUUGCCGCGUGCAGGAUGAAGGACUUCGGGUUGUAAACUGCUUUUGUACGGAACGAAAAGGUUUGGCCUAAUAAGCUGAGCUCAUGACGGUACCGUAAGAAUAAGCACCGGCUAACUACGUGCCAGCCGCCGCGGUAA